rnacentral:rRNA from 1 species
UACGGAGGGGGCUAGCGUUGUUCGGAAUUACUGGGCGUAAAGCGCACGUAGGCGGCUUUGUAAGUCAGAGGUGAAAUCCCAGUGCUCAACACUGGAACUGCCUUUGAGACUGCAUCGCUUGAAUCCAGGAGAGGUGAGUGGAAUUCCGAGUGUAGAGGUGAAAUUCGUAGAUAUUCGGAAGAACACCAGUGGCGAAGGCGGCUCACUGGGCUGGUAUUGACGCUGAGGUGCGAAAGCGUGGGGAGCAAACAGG